rnacentral:rRNA from 1 species
UACAGAGGUCCCAAGCGUUGUUCGGAUUCCUUGGGCGUAAAGCGCACGUAGGCGGAUUGUUAAGUCAGGGGUGAAAUCCUGGAGCUCAACUCCAGAACUGCCUUUGAUACUGGCGAUCUCGAGUCCGGGAGAGGUGAGUGGAACUGCGAGUGUAGAGGUGAAAUUCGUAGAUAUUCGCAAGAACACCAGUGGCGAAGGCGGCUCACUGGCCCGGUACUGACGCUGAGGAGCGAAAGCGUGGGGAGCGAACAGG